CUCGCCAGGGAACUACAAGCCCAAGCUUAAAACCCAAAGGACUUGGCGGUGCUUUAGUCCCACCUAGAGGAGCCUGUUCUAGAACCGAUAAUCCCCGUUCAACCUCACCCUCCCUUGCUUGUCCCGCCUAUAUACCGCCGUCGUCAGCAUACCCUGUGAAGGGCCCAUAGUAAGCAAAAUUGGCACAACCCAAAACGUCAGGUCGAGGUGUAGCGCAUGAGAGGGGAAGAAAUGGGCUACAUUCACUGAUACAGUGAACCACGAACGACGCUUUGAAACAAGCAUCUGAAGGAGGAUUUAGCAGUAAGAAGAAAAAAUAGAGUGUUCCUCUGAAACUGGCCCUGAAGCGCGCACACACCGCCCGUCACUCUCCCCGAGCUAACAACGCCCAAUAAAUAAAACAAUACAACUGCAAAGGGGAGGCAAGUCGUAACAUGGUAAGUGUACCGGAAGGUGCACUUGGAAAAAC
rnacentral:rRNA from 1 species